rnacentral:ncRNA from 1 species
AAAAAAGCUAUGACGAAGAGGGCUGAGCUGUUAAGUUCACAGAGAGUCGGGGUUGGUGAGAACCGAUAAUAAAACUGCUUAAUGUCUAUGGCUUCUGAGCUGAAGGUUCGAAAACAUGUAAAUGUCAGUAGGCUCCUUCCGUGAUUGCUGCGUAAAGGCAUAGGGCUUGUUUGAGCCUGAGAGGUGGCAUUAUUAUUAAUGCAAUUUGAGUGGUACCGCGGGAUUAUCCCGUCUCAAAG